rnacentral:lncRNA from 1 species
GGAAUAGCGGCACUUUAAAAAAUCAAUUUUGUACUAGCAAAUACUUACUAAAAGUUGCUAUUCUUGUAGUACUAUAUGCUUGUGAGAUUUGUUUUAUUUUGUAUUGGGAUAUUGGUUUGAAGAGAGGAGCACUUCCAUAUUUGUAUACUUCGUUGUUCAACCAAUUUAAGAGGUAACACACCCAUGUAGCAGAAAGUGGUG